rnacentral:rRNA from 1 species
AUGAAUAUGGCCACAUCUUGCAUCCCCAUUUUCAUCCUCUUCUUCCUGAGCUCAUAUUGCAAAUCUGAUGAUACUCUUACACAUGCAAAACCACUCUUUUCCGGCGACAAGCUCGUCUCCAGCAAGGGAGUCUUUGCUCUCGGCUUCUUCUUCCCAGCGAGCUCCAACACGAGCCUAUACCUUGGUAUAUGGCACAAUCAGAUACCCGAUCGACUCUUUGUGUGGAUCGCCAACCGCGAUAACCCAAUAACUACACCUUCUUCUGCCAUGCUCGCUAUCAAUAGCAGCUCCAUCGUUGUCCAAACGACCAUCGGCCUACAAGGUGAACUCUACUUUAUGUUCACAGUCUCUGAUGGAUCACCAUUCACCUUCUUCAUGCUUGAGCACUCUGGCAAGUUGACAUCUCUAAGCUGGGACAAUCAGUCAUCCUUGUUAGACAACGUUACAUACUGUCACGAUCCCGACCAGGAGGUGGUGUUCGGCUGGUGUUAG